ensembl:lncRNA
AUCCUAUAAGGGGGGGGAAAUCCUACAAGGGAGAGGGCAGACUCUAUAAGGGAGUGGGAUCCUAUAAGGGGGAGGAGACCCUAUAAGGGAGGGGAUUCUAUAAGGGGUCCUUAUGGGGUCCUAUGUGGUCACUGGGGGGUUUUGGGGUCCUUAUGGGGUCCUAUGGGGUUACUGGGUGCUUAUGGGGUCCUUAUGGGGUCCUAUGGGGUAAUGGGGUCCCUAUAGGAUCCUAUGGGCUCACUAUGGGGUUAUGGGGUCCCUAUGAGAUCCUAUGGGGUCACUGUGUUCUUAUGGGGUCCUAUGGGGUCACUGUGGGGUUAUGAGGUCCUAUGGGGUCCCUAUAGGGUCCUGUGGGGUUAUGGAGUCCCUAUAGGAUCCUAUGGGGUCACUGUGGGGUUAUGGGGUCCCUAUGAGGUCCUAUGGGGUCACUGUGUUCUUAUGGGGUCCUAUGGGGUCACUGUGGGGUUAUGAGGUCCUAUGGGGUCCCUAUAGGGUCCUGUGGGGUUAUGGGGUUCCUAUAGGAUCCUAUGGGGUCACUGUGGGGUUAUGGGGUCCCUAUAGGAUCCUAUGGGCUCACUAUGGGGUUAUGGGGUCCCUAUGAGGUCCUAUGGGGUCACUGUGUUCUUAUGGGGUCCUAUGGGGUCCCUAUGGGGUCACUGUGGG